UUAAAUUGAAGAGUUUGAUCAUGGCUCAGAUUGAACGCUGGCGGCAGGCCUAACACAUGCAAGUCGAACGGUAGCACAGAGAGCUUGCUCUCGGGUGACGAGUGGCGGACGGGUGAGUAAUGUCUGGGAAACUGCCUGAUGGAGGGGGAUAACUACUGGAAACGGUGGCUAAUACCGCAUAACGUCGCAAGACCAAAGAGGGGGACCUUCGGGCCUCUUGCCAUCAGAUGUGCCCAGAUGGGAUUAGCUGGUUGGUGAGGUAACGGCUCA
rnacentral:rRNA from 2 species